rnacentral:lncRNA from 1 species
CCAACCCUGAUGACACCUUGAUCUUGGACUUCACAGCCUCCAGAACUAACAUACUCAAGUGUCUCAGCUCAACAUUUGGAGAUGAGCCAUCCUCCUCUUAUUGUAAGAAAAGCUUGAAGGAGUAUUUUCACAGCGAUGGAACUGGAAGUUAAGGCAACUUCUAUCAGCAUCAAGAAAAGAAAAGAAGUAUUCACCACUUACGAAACAACAUCUCUCUUCUCAUCAAUAGUUUGAUUUACAGCAUCUACUGCAGAAGACCUCAAUAAUGCAUAAGAACAUCUGGAAGUACGGUAAUUUCAGCUAUCAGAGAUAAGAAUUGACACAGAACAGGAAUAGAUGCUGUGUAAGUCUCAUUAAAUUACCUGACUGAUGGAAUAAAUACACAGCCUAUAGCUCGGCAGUCCAUAGUAAACUGAACAAGGGUCUUGAUAUCUCAGAGUUCUGCUUAUUUACACAUGCCUUGGACUCUUCUCACAGAUAUGUAAAUUAUUCUGGUUAAAACUAAAUGCUAAAGUCUACACCAUUAGUCUUCCACUUCAUGAUCUCCACAUGGGGCUGUUAGAGGGAUAAUGUACCAUACAAUACACGGUUUACUUUUAAUUAAUAGAAAAAAAUGUGAAAUGAAUAUUAAAUGUAGCUUAAUGUGAAAGAAAGCUCAAAGCAGUUUGGUUGUUAUUUAUUUAUUUUAAAAAUAUUCAGUCCCGCUUCAUGAUUAGAAAAUAAGGAAUGCAUUACCGGACUGGAAGCCUUGCUGGAGACUUGGAAGAAAAAAAGAGCUUGGAGAGGCUUUAACAAACCAGCUAAUGGUACUGGGCCUGACACAAAGAAGGGAUGCUUUAGGGAGCGGUCCAAGGAGCUCUGCUCUGUGCCUAUUGAAUCCCAGCAGAGCUUUUCUCUAUAUUCCCUGCUGAGAUUGUCCCCUGCUCUAUACCAUACGAAUUGAAGGA